CUUUUCUUUUCACAAAUAAUUUGAAGGAUGAAAUAUCAUUUGUGAACCAGAUCACCAGAUAUAGAUAAUAUCCCAGUCAUAAGAUGAUUCCCAUAAAUUAUGGGGUGAUAACAAGGGGUAAAGGUCAGCCAGUGAGACGAUGGGGGAUAAGCUUCAUCAUCGAGAGGGAAACAACCCAGAUCAUCAGCUAAGGCCCCUAAAUGACCGCUCAGUGAUGAAGGAAGUAUGAGUGCAAAGACAGCCAGGAGGUUUGCCUAGAAGCAUCCAACCUUGAAAGAGUGCGUAAUAGCUCACUGAUCGAGCGCUCUUGCACCUAAGAUGAAUGGGACUAAGCGAUCUGCCGAAGCUGUGGGAUGUAAAAAUACAUCGGUAGGGGAGCGUUCUGCCUCAGAGGGAAGCACCGGUGCGAGUAGGUGUGGAUGAAGCUGAAGCGAGAAUGUCGGCUUGAGUAACGCAAACAUUGGUGAGAAUCCAAUGCCCCAAAAACCUAAGGGUUCCUCCGGAAGGUUCAUCCACGGAGGGUGAGUCAGGGCCUAAGAUCAGGCUGAAAGGUGUAUUCAAUGGAUAACAGGUUAAUAUUCCUGUACUACCCCUUAUUGGUCCCGAGGGAUGGAGGAGGCUAGGUUAGCUGAAAUAUGGUUAUUGGUUCAAGGACGCAAGGUGACCCUACCUUUUUCAGGGUAAGAAGGGGUAGAGAAAAUUCCUCGAGCCAAUGUCCGAGUACCAAGCGCUACAGUGCUGAAGUAACCCAUGCCAUACUCCCAGGAAAAGAUCGAACGACAUUUAACAAAUGGGUACCUGUACCCGAAACUGACACAGGUAGGUAGGUAGAGAAUACCUAGGGGCACGAGACAAAUCUCUCUAAGGAACUCGGCAAAAUAGCCCCAUAAAUUCGGGAGAAGGGGUGCCUCCUCAGGAGGUCGCAGUGACCAGGCCCGGGCGACUGUUUACCAAAAACACAGGUCUUCGCAAAGUCGUAAGACCAUGUAUGGGGGCUGACGUCUACCCAGUGCCGGAAGGUUAAGGAAGUUGGUGACCUGAUGACGGGGAAGCCAGCGACCGAAGCCCCGGUGAACGGCGACCGUAACUAUAACGGUCCUAAGGUAGCGAAAUUCCUUGUUGGGUAAGUUUCAACCCGCACGAAAGGCGUAACGAUCUGGGCACUGUCUCGAAGAGAGACUCGGUGAAAUAGACAUGUCUAUGAAGAUGCGGACUACCUGCACCUGGAUAGAAAGACCCUAUGAAGCUUUACUGUUCCCUGGGAUUGUCUUUGGGUUCUUCUUGCGUAGCUUAGGUGGAAGGCGAAGAAGGCUCCCUCUUGGGGGGGCCUAAGCCACCAGUGAGAUACCACUCUGGAAGAGCUAGAAUUCUAACCUUGUGU
rnacentral:ncRNA from 1 species